rnacentral:rRNA from 1 species
GGCUCAGGACGACGGCGGCCGGCGUCCUUAAUCCAUCCAAUUGAAGCGGCCAGAUGGAAGCUGGUUCCUUAAGUUAAGCGGCGGACGGUUGAGUACCAGGUGGUUACCUUCCCGGUAGGAUUGGGAUAAUUCCGGGAACCCGGGGUUAAUCCCGGAUGCUUAAUUGACCGCCAUGGUUCAAUAAUAAAAGGUGGUUUCAGCUACCACUUACAGAUGGACCCGCGGCGCAUUAGCUAGUUGGUGAGGUAACGGCUCACCAAGGCGACGAUGCGUAGCCGACCUGAGAGGGUGAUCGGCCACACUGGGACUGAGACACGGCCCAGACUCCUACGGGAGGCAGCAGUAGGGAAUCUUCCGCAAUGGACGAAAGUCUGACGGAGCAACGCCGCGUGAGUGAUGAAGGUUUUCGGAUCGUAAAACUCUGUUGUUAGGGAAGAACAAGUACCGUUCGAAUAGGGCGGUACCUUGACGGUACCUAACCAGAAAGCCACGGCUAACUACGUGCCAGCAGCCGCGGUAAUACGUAGGUGGCAAGCGUUGUCCGGAAUUAUUGGGCGUAAAGCGCGCGCAGGCGGUUUCUUAAGUCUGAUGUGAAAGCCCCCGGCUCAACCGGGGAGGGUCAUUGGAAACUGGGGAACUUGAGUGCAGAAGAGGAGAGUGGAAUUCCACGUGUAGCGGUGAAAUGCGUAGAGAUGUGGAGGAACACCAGUGGCGAAGGCGACUCUCUGGUCUGUAACUGACGCUGAG